GUAGUUCCUUACAUACCUCACGUUAUUACAAAGUUUGAUGAGAAUUCCAUCUCAUAUCAAAGCAAGCCAUAAUCACACCAAUAGACAUCCAACAAAAGCAAUAAUUCAAUUGCCAUCCAAGUCAUCCAAUUAUGCACACGAUCAAGUAACACCCAACAAGAGUAGUCAACCAAUGAGAUAAAUAAUAAUAUAACAAUCCACGAAGUUUAGUAUAAUCAAACUCCGUAAAUGUCCGUAGUAUUUCUCCUAACUAGACUCCUAAGCCUUGCUCUUAGUUACUAAUACACGGAUCCUUCAACAUGGCCAAUUCCAUUUCCACGAAUAUAAGACAUUACUAAAUGCAUGACAUGAACUUUAAUUCUAGUCAAAGUACUUGGAAUUACUAAUUUAAUAGCACCCAAUUCACAUGCCCUUUUUGGUUGAUAUAUAAUAACAUCAUCACUGCCAGUACGUAUGAAUGGAAAUAAUUCUAGACCAUAAGUGAUUUAUGCGUUUCAUUAGGUAUAAAAGCACCAAUACAUUAAGUCAUUAAGCUUAUAAUUGUAUAUGAAAAUGGUUCUUUGAAACCCAAAACAUAACCAUAUAAAGUGGUUUAGUCACAAACUCAAUAUGGAUGAGUAAUUUAGAAUUAAAACUGAGAGAAGAACGAAUAUUGCAAAAGUAGCAACCUCUUCCCCACAAAAACUGCAGAAAAGCAGUUUCAGUCAAUCAAGAUUAAACCUAAUUUCGAACACCCAUAACUAUACCGAUUGAUGCAAACUUACAUGGGUUUCAAAACUUAUUUUGUGUACUUUAAAAGCAUAAAAGAUUUGUAGAUAACGGGAUUCUAAUUUGAAAGUUAUGCAAGUUACAAAAUAGAGUCUCAAAAACGCUGUAUUUGCUACUAUCUAGUAGUCUCGAGACUCAAGUUUGAAUAUGAUUUUGACAUAUCAAUACUCAAUGGAAUUAUGUGAAAUUAGAUGGGUUUAGAUCACUAAGAUGUCUAGUUUUAAACCACGUACUAUACGCUCAAAAGGAAUUCAUAAGGACAAGGAACUCAAGAGUCAAAGUAGGCUACUUGAAACAUAGUUUUUCUGCAACCUAGAACCUAUACUCUUUUUAUUCAAAUUACAUGCUUCCACACAAUUUUGAAUUCAUGUCUAUAACUUCUAUUUCAAUUAUAUUCAACAAUUAACAAGAAUUGACCUUUUAAUCCAAAUUCUAGGACCAGAUAUUUUGAUCAAAACACCCAAAGUAUAAAAUUAAAAGCAAUACGAAAGAUUGAUACAAAGCAGCCAUGGAAGGAAUAAAGAGAGAUGGGACUCGUUACCUAUGCUGCAGCUUGGCAAAAACAAUCAUAUUUCUGUUAUGAUUCAGACAACAUGCUUGUACACCUUUCCUCUCAGUUCCUAGUUAACAUCUUAAUUCCUUAUUCCUCUUUGUUUCCCCUUGCAUCUUCUUCCAUGUUUCCUUCAACUUCUCUCAAAGAUCCAGAUAUAGUUUCCGUCCUCGUCCCCCUUUUCUGAUUUAUAGUUUAGGGCAGUGGGAUUCCUUGUAAUCCCCCCUUCCAUUUUUUCAACGCCAUCUCCCCC
rnacentral:lncRNA from 1 species